UACGUAGGGUGCGAGCGUUAAUCGGAAUUACUGGGCGUAAAGCGUGCGCAGGCGGCUUUGCAAGACAGAUGUGAAAUCCCCGGGCUCAACCUGGGAACUGCAUUUGUGACUGCAAGGCUAGAGUACGGCAGAGGGGGAUGGAAUUCCGCGUGUAGCAGUGAAAUGCGUAGAUAUGCGGAGGAACACCGAUGGCGAAGGCAGCUUACCAAAGUGUGAUUGACGCUGAGGCACGAAAGCGUGGGGAUCAAACAGG
rnacentral:rRNA from 1 species